UAAAAGGGCUUCUGCCGUGAUUGGCACAGACGAGGUGAGCAUAACAACUCAUCUUGUCUGCGGAAUCCCCAUCAAGAGAUUUCGGAAGCAUAAUUUUUGCAACAGAGGCAGCUGGUGAUCACUUGUCCUGGCGCCUCA
ensembl:snRNA